AUGUUGCUUUCUAACAAGCUGACUCUGGACAAGUGGGAAGUGAAAGGGAAGUGGGCUAUUAUGAGAGCAGACCUUGGUGUUUCUAUGAACAACAACCAGAUAACAAAUAACCAAAGGAUCAAAGUUGCUGUUCCAAGUCUCACAUUCUGCUUGGAUGUGGAGCCAAGUUGUCCUUAUGAGCCACCUGAUGGUGUUCCCAUGGGUGAGAAAUACUCCUUAGAAGCAGUUGCUAUACAGAACUCAAAUCUCUGCUAGGCAUGAAUGUUCUGUUCUUGAAGGAUUGAGUGGAAGGAUUGAGUGGGCCCAGAAGGAGAGAAAGCCCACGCCAAGCCAGCGGCUGGGCCUGUCAUCCGGCUGGAGAACCUCCAUUUCCGUGUGGAGGAAGAAGGAAGGGGAAAAACUGCUUCGGGGAGCAAGGCCAGAGCCAAGCCAUACAAAGUAGAUGCUUUCUGAGCGUCACUGUCCAAAUGAGAGGGUGUCUAUGUCAACUAUGCUUUGGGGACUGUGCACUGAGCCCACAGUUCCACAGUGGGAGUGAUUCUUCCACAGAAGGCUGGAUUUUUUUUUUUUUUAAAUGAAGGAGCUGAACUACUUUGCCAAGGCUUUAGAGAGUACAAUCUUGGGCAGAGCGAAAGUUGCAAACAAGAUCUGGCUGAAUUAGUAAAUGCUAGAGAGUUGAGCUAAAUCACCGGUAGGGGAAUGGCCUUUACCUUCUUUAAAGUAAACAACAUAGAGAUUUUGAUUUCUCUGUACGAUGAAAGAGGCAAGAUGGCGCUAAGAUGACCUUGUCUAUUGACUUGAUACGUUUUGUGAGACUGCCAAGACUGGCCAAGCUGCUGUGGCCUUUGGCAUAAUUGGAUGAGCUUGGACUCAGGUACUGAUUGUAGCAAACAAUAUUCUGAGGCUGUGGUUCCAACGAGUAGAUUGUUUGGAUUGGACCUAUGGGGCAUUUAAAUGGGAAGCCUUUUCCAGGAAUCCAAGUCCCUCAUUGAUGCAGUGGUGACCGUCCCUUCUAGGGGUUGCAUUACUAUCAUAGUGGAGAUGUGCCGAAUACAAUAUGGGAUGAGAUCAGCCAUGUGAACUCUCGAAUGGUGCCAACCUAAAGCCCCUGGAAGUAAAGUCCUUCCUGGGAUGGGUGCUCCCAGCAAUGUUUAG
rnacentral:lncRNA from 1 species